GAAAGAUUCAUCGGAAGAGGAUGGGCAUGCGGCGCAUUAGCUAGACGGCGGGGUAACGGCCCACCGUGGCGACGAUGCGUAGGGGUUCUGAGAGGAAGGUCCCCCACACUGGUACUGAGACACGGACCAGACUCCUACGGGAGGCAGCAGUGAGGAAUAUUGGUCAAUGGGAGAGAUCCUGAACCAGCCAAGCCGCGUGAGGGAAGACGGCCCUAUGGGUUGUAAACCUCUUUUGUCGGAGAACAAAACCCGGGACGUGUCCCGGACUGCGUGUAUCCGAAGAAAAAGCAUCGGCUAACUCCGUGCCAGCAGCCGCGGUAAUACGGAGGAUGCGAGCGUUAUCCGGAUUUAUUGGGUUUAAAGGGUGCGUAGGCGGUCUGUUAAGUCAGCGGUAAAAUUGCGGGGCUCAACCCCGUCGAGCCGUUGAAACUGGCAGACUUGAGUUGGCGAGAAGUACGCGGAAUGCGCGGUGUAGCGGUGAAAUGCAUAGAUAUCGCGCAGAACUCCGAUUGCGAAGGCAGCGUACCGGCGCCAGACUGACGCUGAGGCACGAAAGCGUGGGGAUCGAACAGGAUUAGAUACCCUGGUAGUCCACGCAGUAAACGAUGAAUGCUGGUUGUCCGGGUCGAAUGAGACCUGG
rnacentral:rRNA from 1 species